rnacentral:rRNA from 1 species
GUAGGUGGCAGAGUGUGUCUGUAGUGAAAGCGUGUGGCUCAACCAUAUAUACAUUACAGAAACUGCUCAGCUAGAGGACGAGAGAGGUUAUUGGAAUUCCUAGUGUAGGAGUGAAAUCCGUAGAUAUUAGGAGGAACACCGAUGGCGUAGGCAGAUAACUGGCUCGUUCCUGACACUAAGGCACGAAAGCGUGGGGAGCAAACGGGAUUAGAUACCCCGGUAGUCCACGCCGUAAACGAUGGAUGCUAGCUGUAAGAGGUAUCGACCCCUCUUGUAGCGAAGCUAACGCGUUAAGCAUCCCGCCUGUGGAGUACGGUCGCAAGACUAAAACAUAAAGGAAUUGACGGGGACCCGCACAAGCGGUGGAGCGUGUUGUUUAACUCGAUGGUAAACGAAGAACCUUACCCAGGCUUGACAUCCUAGGAAUUUUUCCGAAAGGAAAGAGUGCUUUAUUGAGCCUAGUGACAGGUGUUGCAUGGCCGUCGUCAGCUCGUGUCGUGAGAUGUUUGGUUAAGUCCAUCAACGAGCGCAACCCUUAUAGUCUGUUGUAUUUUUCAGGCUAGACUGCCCCGGUAACGGGGAGGAAGGAGGGGAUGAUGUCAGGUCAGUAUUACCCUUACGUCUGGGGCUACAAACACGCUACAAUGGCCGGUACAAAGGGCAGCCAAAGCGCAAGCUGGAGCAAAUCCCAUCAAAGCCGGUCUCAGUUCGGAUAGCAGGCUGAAACUCGCCUGCUUGAAGUCGGAAUCGCUAGUAACGGUAGGUCAGCUAUACUACCGUGAAUACGUUCCCGGGUCUUGUACACACCGCCCGUCAAACCAUGAAAGUCGGGGGUACCUGACGUGUGAGCUUCGCCUCGCCCUAAGGUAAACUCGAUGAUUGGGGUU